rnacentral:rRNA from 1 species
AUUGAACGCUGGCGGCAUGCCUUACACAUGCAAGUCGAACGGCAGCACGGGAGCAAUCCUGGUGGCGAGUGGCGAACGGGUGAGUAAUAUAUCGGAACGUGCCCGGUCGUGGGGAUAACGUAGCGAAAGCUACGCUAAUACCGCAUACGAUCUACGGAUGAAAGCGGGGGAUCGCAAGACCUCGCGCGAUUGGAACGGCCGAUAUCAGAUUAGGUAGUUGGUGAGGUAAAGGCUCACCAAGCCGACGAUCUGUAGCUGGUCUGAGAGGACGACCAGCCACACUGGGACUGAGACACGGCCCAGACUCCUACGGGAGGCAGCAGUGGGGAAUUUUGGACAAUGGGCGCAAGCCUGAUCCAGCAAUGCCGCGUGCAGGAUGAAGGCCUUCGGGUUGUUAAACGUAG